ensembl:lncRNA
GAGACUGCCCUUGAAUAUGAGCCUGCUUCUGAGACUGACACUACCUGUACCUCGGAGACUGCCCUUGAAUAUGAGGGUGCCACUGCUUCUGAGACUACCUCGGAGACUGCCCUUGAAUAUGAGGGUGCCACUGCUUCUGAGACUACCUCGGAGACUGCCCUUGAAUAUGAGGGUGCCACUGCUUCUGAGACUACCUCAGAGAUUGCCCUUGAAUAUAAUGAGGGUGCCAUGGUCUCUGAGACUGACACUGACACUACCUCAGAGACUUACACAACCUAUGAAGCUUCCACUGUCUCUGAGUCUAACAUUGAAUAUCAGUUGGCCACUGCCUCUGAGCUGCCAAUGGAUCUUAUCCAGCUACUGCUUCUCAGACAUCCACUGUCUCUGAGACUGACCCUCCCCGAAGACCUGAGCCCCUUUUAACUUACAGAAUACAUCCUAUUUUUUAUAUGGUGCAAUAAAAAAAUAAAAAAAUAAAAAAACUUUUACUUC